AGGGUGUGGUGGUACUCGCCAUGGGCAUCGAGGUCGCCGAGAGAGGAGGAGAGUGACCUUGCGAGAGACAAGGGCAGAGGAGGAGCUGCGGACUCUCGGCCAAUUUGUUACAGGAUGUGAACGCGCAAGCUAUCGUGCGAAGAAGCGGUUGCGUACUGUCUAGCGUUGGAAACACGACCAGAUGGCUCGCCUUUUCAAGAAUCCGGAUCAACUGUCGGCGUACAGAGAUCGUAGAUUUCUGGGAUCACAGGAUGAAUUUGAGCAUGCGCUUCGAACCUCAACCACAGUGUAUGUGGGAAACCUCUCUUUCUAUACCACAGAGGAGCAGAUCUACGAGGUUUUUUCUCGCACUGGGGAGCUGAAGAAGAUCAUUAUGGGUCUCGAUAAGAACAGUAAAACCCCGUGUGGUUUCUGCUUUGUUCUAUUCUAUACAAGAGAAGAUACUGAGGACGCUGUAAAAUACAUUAGUGGAACCAUUUUGGACGACCGACCUAUACGUGUGGACUUUGAUUGGGGUUUUCAAGAGGGUCGGCAAUGGGGUCGUGGAAGGAGUGGAGGCCAGGUGCGAGAUGAGUACCGUACAGAUUAUGAUCCUGGGAGAGGAGGCUAUGGAAAGUUGGUACAGAAGGAGUUGGAAGUGCGGCGGCAGCUUGUGGAAUAUGACCAACCUGUGGGCAUGGGAGGGGUUCAAUAUCCUAAUCUGGGAGAAGGAGGUGGUGGAAAUGAAUUCAGGCGUGGAAAAGACCGACAUGGCAAUGGAGGCAAUCGACAUAGAGAGGGGAGAAAGAGAUACAGAGAUGAAGAUGCUCCACCUGCAGAUGGUGUGAAGAGACAAGAUAGGGAACUGAAAGUUGUAAGUUGGUUGAAAUCUCAAGGGGCCUCAACAUCUCACUCUGCAGUUGUCUUAUCUUGUUCAAUCAAGACAGUAAAGACCGCGUUGAAGUGAAGGGUCAAUUACAUUUAGAUUGUAAUCAUUAUCAUCUAUAACAUCAUGCCACAUUUUUAGGCGUCUACUUGGUUUUAACACGGGUUUUUUGCAGGAAAAGAAUCCAAGAUUUCGAGAAAAGGGUGACUCUGAUGAAGAGGAUGGAGGGGAUGGAGGGAAAAGUUAGAGAUGUGAGUGCCAUUUAUGGCAGGAAAUUGUCUUCAUUUUGUGCUUCAGCAGCACAGAUCCUGGUUACAUAAUUCUCUUCAAAAACUGUUCUGGGUUUUUAGACAAGUUUCAACUGACUCAGAUCACAUGGGAGUUGCCAACUUUACUUGAAGCAUUCCAUCCUGAUGAUUUGAUGAAAACCAGCAGUUUAUCCUCGUUUUUACUGGAAUUUCAGAACUUCGUCAAAACACCUUUUUACAUUAUCUUUUGUAGCCACUUCUUAGCUACUCCAUUGACAUGAAUGGUCUUUAAAGCCAGGUGAAGGCUGUGAUCGUAUGUCAAUUCACAACUACAACCUUAUGUGCAGUAAACUUGUUAUGUGCAGGGAUUACCUGUCUCGAGAUAGUUGUGCCGGGUUAGGUAUCAGUUGCUAGGAUCAUUACAAGGGUGCGUUCAUGGAAUCCGGGUUGGAUUAUUACUGAUAUUUGUGAUUUAUAAUCAACCUCUUUGAUGUGCAAUUUUUUCCACGUUCAUUUUGAGCGAUUUGGGUACACCAUUUU